rnacentral:rRNA from 1 species
AGCGAACGCUGGCGGCAGGCCUAACACAUGCAAGUCGAACGAAGUCUUCGGACUUAGUGGCGGACGGGUGAGUAACACGUGGGAACGUGCCUUUAGGUUCGGAAUAACUCAGGGAAACUUGUGCUAAUACCGAAUGUGCCCUUCGGGGGAAAGUUUUAUCGCCUUUAGAGCGGCCCGCGUCUGAUUAGCUAGUUGGUGAGGUAAAGGCUCACCAAGGCUACGAUCAGUAGCUGGUCUGAGAGGAUGACCAGCCACACUGGGACUGAGACACGGCCCAGACUCCUACGGGAGGCAGCAGUAGGGAAUCUUGCGCAAUGGGCGAAAGCCUGACGCAGCCAUGCCGCGUGAAUGAUGAAGGUCUUAGGAUUGUAAAAUUCUUUCACCGGGGAAGAUAAUGACGGUACCCGGAGAAGAAGCCCCGGCUAACUUCGUGCCAGCCGCCGCCGUAAGAC